rnacentral:rRNA from 1 species
AUGACAUCUCAAGGAUGGGUAGCACAGAGGACCGUACCCCUUAUACAGAGUGACCCUACAAUUGGAUGCAAAGAGUUGUUGGAGAAUUUGCAAGAUACAUAUGGCACUACCACUGACUAUCAUACAGUGUGGAAAGGCAAAGAUAUAGCACAGAAAGAGAUUUAUGGUAGCAUGAGGCAAAGUUUUCAAUAUUUGUUUAACUUCGAAGCGGAAGUUGAGAAGAGAUCCCCAGGCAACAUUGUAGAGGUGGAUAUGAAGAUGGUUCACGGAUGUUGGCUAUGGCAUUGGCUGAUGAGGCAUCGCAGCAACCUACCCCAAUUGUGA